UAGUGUGGGCUUUCGACCCGGCCGUUUCUCCGGGACGCGCAAAGGCCCACGCGAUUCCCCACCGUCUCGCCACGCCACCUCUCCUCGCUCCGAACUCCGAUGUCUCCACUAGCCAGCGGCAGCGCCGCCCCCUCGCACGGCCGCACCACCCGCGCCUCCCCCACGCGCGCGCCCCUCCUCCACUGUUCCUGGCGCCGUCCCUCCGGAGGUCGGCUUGCCGGCGGCCACCCCGAGGCCUCCUCCUCCUACUCCGGUUCUUUCACGGAAUGAACCUCUGAAAAAGAUUUCGGCUGGUGGUGGUGGUUUAUUUGGUAGCACCGGCGAGAUUGCGGUAGUAUUUCAUAUUCAUUACCUGUGGCAAUGUCCUGGAGAGAUUGUGGCUUCACUCCUCUGCUGUGUAUGCCAUAACUGGGAUUAUCGCUUAAUUUAAUGUGAUCUGCUAUCAAGUUUAGUGCUGUUGUACUAAAGUACACUGAUUGUAUGUGUUCCGCUGUUGAUCAGGUUUAGUUGAAUAGUCUAUCCUUGGAGGUGCAAGAAAAGCAAAUAUUGUUAGGUUUACGUGGGUCUAUCCGGCCUACCCUCUAUUCCUUUUCCGUUGUUCCGCUCACAAUGCAUUAUGAGGCUGGAGGGUAGGGACCUAUUUAUAGACUCCACUUCCAGAUAUACACUAUAUCUGUUUCCGGUACACCGUUAGACUCCUGAACCAUGUCACCAACCACAAUUGGACAGUUCAGUUAAAUGAGUCUACAAUAUAAUAGUCCCAAGCACACAUGAUGUAAUCAUUGCACAUGACUCACACAUGUGUGCUUGGGACUAUUAUAUUGUAGGCUCAUUUAACUGAACUGUCAUCGUAUGUCUAUGAAUUCGGAGUCAAUUAGUUACCUAUUUUUGUUUUUCUUGCGUCAACAACCAUGAUGAUGCUACCAAUUCUUUUGAGGGGAAUUUAGCUGGAAACACUAGUUCAAAGUUUGAUAAAAUUGCAGUGCUGAAGCUGCGUUGGAGACUAUCAGCAUCCACUGCCGAUGCAAAUUCAUGCUCUAAUAAGAUACUUAAUUUUGACAAGUUUGCUCCAUUGUUCCAAGGCUGUGCAGAUAUUAGGUCUCUAAAGAAGAUCCAUUGUCAUGUUUUCACACAUGGAUUGUGCUGGGAUGUGAUUCUUGGCUCUAAGAUUGUGAGUUGUUAUGCUAAUUUAGGGGCCCUGUCUGAGUCAAGACUUGUUUUCCAGAAAAUUGUAAAUGAUGAGCUUUCCCUGUGGAAUUCAACCAUGGUUGAUUAUUUUAGAGCUGGUUAUCCAGAGGAAGUUAUUAUCUUGUACAAAAGGUUGAAAUUACACCAGAUUGGUUUGGAUGGGAAAACUAUUACUUUUGUUUUGAAAAGCUGCACUGAGCUUGAGAAUCUGUACUUGGGUAAAGGAAUGCAUGUGGAUUCACUUAAAUUUGGUCUGUCUGGGGAUAAAUUCAUCGGUUCCUCCCUCAUUGUGUUGUACUCCAAGCUUCAUAGGAUGGACGAUUCACAGGGAGUGUUUAAAGAGAUCAUUGACAAGGACGUUGUUGCUUACACUUCGAUGAUCACUGGUUAUUCAGAAAUUGUGGAUUCAGUUGCAUGGAAUGCAUUUGAUAUUGCCAUUGAUAUGCUGCAGGGCAACUUGGAAGUAAACCGUGUGACUAUGAUAAGCUUACUGCAAAUAGCUGGGAAUUUGGGAGCACUUAAAGAGGGCAAAUCACUCCAUUGCUAUUCCAUAAGGAGAGCACUUGUUGUCUCAGAUUAUAUUCUAGAGACCUGCAUUGUGAACUUGUAUACUCGAUGUGGAGCUUAUCAAUCAGCAGUUGCUACUUUACAGAAUUCAAAGGGAACUGCAGCUUCAUGGAAUGCUAUGCUUUCUGGUCUUACUAGAGCUGGACAGAGUUUUGAUGCAAUCCACUAUUUGUCUGUGAUGCUGCAUGAGCAUAAAAUAACUCCAGAUUCUGUCACCUUCGCAAACGUGAUUUCUGCUUGUGUUGAGGUAUGCUAUUUCGGCUAUGCUGCUAGUAUUCAUACCUACUUAAUAAGAAGAUAUAUACCUCUGGAUGUUGUUUUGGCGACUGCUCUUGUUAAGGUGUACUCCAAAUGCAAAAAAAUCACGAUAUCAAGACAUCUCUUUAAUCAACUGAUUGUUAAAGAUGCAGUCUCCUAUAAUGCAAUGAUGUACGGUUACCUACAUAACGGCAUGGCCAAUGAGGCCACCUCCUUACUCAAUUACAUGAUGGCAGAAGGUAUUGUUCCAGAUUUUGCAACUGUUCUUAGUCUGCUUGCUGCUUUUGCUGAUCAAAGAGAUUUAGUGAGAGGGAGGUGGAUCCAUGGAUUUGGGAUUAGGCAUGGGUUUUGUUCGGAUGGUGACGUUGAAAAUCAUAUUCUUUAUAUGUACUCAGUUUGCGGAAAACCUGCAGCAGCAAGGGUUAUAUUUGAUUUACUGGAACAGAAAAGCUUGGUUUCAUGGACAGCCAUGAUGAAGGGUUGCUUACCCUAUGGACAUGGAGAUGAGGUGGUUCAAUUAUUUCACUUGAUGCAGAAACAUGGGGAGAAACCUGAUUCCAUGUCUCUUGUAACUGCUGUUCAAGCUGUCUCUGAGCUUGGCCAUCUAAAUGGUCUAAAACAAAUCCAUUGUUUUGUUUACCGUUCCCUGUUAGAGAAAGAUAAGAUUACUGCAAAUUCAUUGAUAAGUGCAUAUGCCAAAUGUGGAAGACUGGAUUUGUCAGUAGGUUUGUUCUUUAGUUUGGAAUACAGAAACUUGGAUACUUGGAAUGCAAUUAUCAGUGCUUAUGCGAUGCAUGGAUUCUAUAUUAAUAUGCUUGAAAUGUUUAAGCAAAUGGAAGAAGAAAACAUUCAGCCUGAUGAGUUAACAUUCUCUACUGUGCUUACUGCUUGCAGCCAUGCUGGUCUUGUCAAGGAUGGUUGGCGUAUGUUCAAUUCCAUGACCUCAGUAUAUUCAGUUCUUCCACAGGAAGAGCAUUAUGGUUGCAUGGUUGAUUUAUUGGGUCGUGCUGGGCAUCUGGAAGAUGGAUACAAAUUUAUAAAGCUAUCUACCUUGAAGGAUAAAUCCACUAUAUUUUGUGUUUUGAUCUCUGCUUGCAGAACGCAUAGAAAUACACAACUGGCACUUGCUAUUAGCAAAGAGCUCCUUGAGCAUGGACCACAGAAACCAGGUAUUUAUGCUCUGAUUUCAGAAGUGUAUGCUCAGGAAGGGCAGUGGAAUGAAUUUACCAAUACAAGGGCCAGAGCUAAUUUAAGUGGGUUAAAGAAACAUCCUGGUUCUAGUUUCAUUGAAUUAAUGGAGCAAGGCAUGUGUUAGCGAAGAGCCUGCGGACGGCAUGCUACUCUUUAUAGAAUGGACUCCUCCCUUUGCAUGAAGAACAGAAGCGCACAACUGCCCAUCUCGCAUCUCUCUCCUCUCAAAUCCUUCUCAAAUUGGCCUGAAAUCAAAGGUUUUUCCGUGGGACGUGUGGACAUCGUCUAGGAAGAAUCCUUGCAUUGGAGGGAAAAGAACAAGUAAUCCAACAUGCUUCAUCCUAUAUAAGAUGCCUGACUGGAAUCGAGAACUGAUGCUUGCAUGCAAGCAGCAAAAUCAUUGAAGAUUGUUCAGGCCAUCACUUUGCUAUCAGGUUACUUAGCCGAGAGCAAUUGGGCAAUGGUUCAAGAAAUGGGAGAGAAGACACCACAAUGGUUCCUUCGCUAUGGCCAGUUCUCCACGUGCAGCAAGUAUAACUUUAAAAAGAACAGCAGCCAGGAAUACAUUUGCCAUAAUAUUGAGGAGAUUGGAGGUACUAAUGCUGCCACAUUGGAGAUAAACAACUCUUCAAGUUGGGGACUGGGAUUCUUGGGACUGGACAGAGAAGAACAUGUUUGAUCUUGAGGAGCUUGAUCGCAGUGACGUAGUCAGCAACCUCGAGUGUCAUCUGCUAUAUUCUCAUCGCCCAACUUAAGAUCCAAGGAGAAGGAUUGCUCUAAAUAAUGUACUUACAAUAUUAUCUAAAAGAAUAUAUCUAGUUAUUAGGGCCGUAUGCAUUGCUUGAUGCAUAUGCUGGAGAAUUUUUUACUCUACUAUCUUAAAAGGUAUGUAUGGAUACUUUUGAUUAGUUUAGGUUGGUUAUAUGCAUUUAGUGAGGAAUUUACUUUUUGUGAUAUGAUGGCUUUUGUUUUGUGACAAA